rnacentral:rRNA from 1 species
CCUACGGGUGGCAGCAGUGGGGAAUAUUGGGCAAUGGGCGCAAGCCUGACCCAGCAACGCCGCGUGAAGGAAGAAGGCCCUCGGGUUGUAAACUUCUUUUAUCAAGGACGAAACAAAUGACGGUACUUGAUGAAUAAGCCACGGCUAACUACGUGCCAGCAGCCGCGGUAAUACGUAGGUGGCAAGCGUUAUCCGGAUUUACUGGGUGUAAAGGGCGUGUAGGCGGGACUGCAAGUCUGAUGUGAAAACCAUGGGCUCAACCCAUGGCCUGCAUUUGAAACUGUAGUUCUUGAGUGUGGGAGAGGCAGGCGGAAUUCCGGGUGGAGCGGUGAAAUGCGUAGAUAUCACGCAGAACCCCGAUUGCGAAGGCAGCCUUCCGGCGCCCUACUGACGCUGAGGCACGAAAGUGCGGGGAUCGAACAGGAUUAGAUACCCUAGUAGUC